rnacentral:rRNA from 1 species
GACGAACCGUGCGAACGUUGUUCGGAUUCACUGGGCUUAAAGGGCGCGUAGGCGGGCGACCAAGUCGGGGGUGAAAGUUUUCGGCUCAACCGGAAAAGUGCCUUCGAUACUGGUGGCCUCGAGGGAGGUAGGGGCAUGCGGAACUUCCGGUGGAGCGGUGAAAUGCGUAGAUAUCGGAAGGAACGCCGGUGGCGAAAGCGGCGUGCUGGACCUCUUCUGACGCUGAGGCGCGAAAGCCAGGGGAGCGAACGGG